UAAAUGCAUUUUAUUGCCGAAAUCAAAUCAAAAUAGCCUUUCUCGAAGUGAUAAUUUUAAAUUGAGAGACUAAAAAAAAUCACUCGGAGUCGUGUCAGAUGAGUACGAUGCUUGGUCGUGGAAGAUGACGCAAUAUCAUGAUGCGAAUUCAAUGAAUUGGCCUUCCAUAAUUCUGUCUGUUUUGGUGGAAAUUGUUGAUGUAAAAGCCAUAUGAACUAUUAUUCACCGUUUGUCCCUCUGGAAGAAAUUAAGAAUAAACCAUACCGCUAUUAUUGAAAAGAUUUGUCAGUCCUACUCUCAUUUUCUAACGAAUUUGAUAUAGAUAGAUUUUGUGACUAUUUAAUUAGUAAAUGUAAAAUCUCAGGACAUUAUGUGUCCAGUGAUCUGGUUUGAAUGUUAUUUUUCAACAGCAUAGGGCUAAUUUGACACCACUAGUGCGGCAGCAAAUUUUAUGCCCAAAAUAAAGCCAAGAUAAUUUUCAACGACUCAUAUACUGUUUUCAGCGGACUAGACGAAGCGAUUGCACUACCAUAUCUCCGUCUUCUUUAAAUACUUUAUAACAUUCAUAUGUCUAUGUUUGUAGCAUGAACAAUUCACGGAAUCGCACAAGACACUCCAACAAUUCCAUCACCUGCACAAUGCGGGAUGCAUCCAAUAUUCUGCGACAAUUUCGUAAGCAUCGUGCUUUCGAAUAUUAUCUAAAAAAUCUGGAACCUCUAAAGAGAAUAUUAAUUUAUAAUAAUAAUUUUAAAAUUAUUAUUAUUUAUUAGUUUUUUAAAAUAAACUUCUAUAUUUUUUUUCUAAAUACAAAUUUUCUUAAAAUAUUGCUGAACGCAAUAUAAACACAACUACUUCUGGGUGAGGUUAUAACUAAUUAUAUUUAGUACUUGGAGAACAUUAAAUCUUCGGUAUUUUUCAAUACCAACAAGAACCUCAUCCACCCCAAAUAUUUAAAUACAGAGAUAUGACAUCUAAAUACAGCUAAUGAUCAUUAACGUAGUCAUUAGGAAAUGAUAGAUAUGUUCUUGGGUAGUAAAUUUUACAGACUGCGGUAGGUAAUGGAAGUAAAAUAAAUAUUUAUUUAAUAAUAAUAAUUUUAAAAAAAAUUCUAUAUUUUUUUUUCUUAAUACAAAUUUGUUUAAAAUCUUGCUGAACGCAAUAAAAACACAACUUCUUCUGGGUGAGGUUAUAACUAAUUAUAUUUAGUAAUUGGAGAACAUUACAUUCUCGGUAUUUUUCAAUACCAACAAGAACCUCACCCACCCCAAAUAUUUAAAUAAAGAGAUAUGACAUCCGAAUUAUUAAAUGCAGCCAACGAUUAUAAUGGUCUUCACGAGGAAACGAUAGACAUGUUAUUGGGAAGUAAGCUUACGGAAUGUGACAGGUAAAGGAAAUAAAUGCUUUCAUCUAUUAGAAUCGUUCAAGUUAAAGUCUGCUUUAUACGCAAAUUAAAACGAGUAUAAUUAAAAUGAGGACUUCCUAAGAUUUUUUAUCAGCCCACUAAUAUUUAUCGUAAUUUCGUUUUUGAAUUAUGUAUAUGACAAACUUAAAAUAACAACAUAAGAAUCGUUUCUAACAAUUAUAAAAUGCAUUAUUUUAUACAUAAAUAGUGAGUAGUAUAUCCACGCAUGACAAAAUAAAAAAAUUUGUAAACGUUAAGUUUACGGUAUUUUUCAAUACCCAUAUAAAGAGAUAAUAUUUUCAACUUUUAAAUAAAAAGAAUUUGGACACCAUCCUUAUGGAUUUAUAACAGUAAAACAAUUUUGGGUCUACUAUGUGGAAGUGCACUUCAUAGAGAUGACUGCAGAAGAUACAACAGAAAUAAUUAAUGAAAAAAAUUGUGUUCCAGAUUUAAUAAUAUCAAAACCUUAAACCGAACAACAGCGUGUUUAUCUAAUAAAUAAUUCAAAGCACUAUAAUGGAUAUCCAAUCUUAGUCCACUAUGAUAAAUUUUUUUAUCGAAGCCAAUACCGUGGUGCCUUGCAAACGCCAUUCUUCUAGCGCAGGUCAAAUUAGCUUUUCGUUCGUCUAUUACAAAAUCAGCCAAGCUAUACUUUUCAAACAGGAUCCACACUCAUCAAAACUGAUUGCUAUCGAGUCUAUCGAGACGUGUUAUUUUGCUGUAGCUAUAGUUUCUUCAGAAUCAUCCUUUCUCACAUAUGGAGCCAAAAAUUCGCCAUACAAUUUUUGU